GAUGCAGAAGCACCUGUAUUGAUACAAGUGAAAUAAAGGACAAAGUACAGAUAUAAAAUAUCAAAAUCUAAUUCCUUCCAAAGAUUUCCUCCAGAUCACUCACAAGGAACUCCCCCUGAACUUGCACAGGCACAAAGCAUGGAAACAGCAGGAGUGAUCAAGUUGAGCAACAUAGGAAUAACCAUUAUUCACAUCCACAGACAACUUCUCUUCCAUCUUAGACAGCUCUGUGCCAUUAAGAGCACUUAGCAGUAAGCCUUGUUGAAAAUCCAAGAGCACAGCUAGAACCAGAUCAGCUUUAGGAGGUGGCUAUGAUCCAAACCAAGUUUGAAUUCUCACAAGAGGAGAACCCAUUUCUAACAGGAAGGAAGGAAGAAUAAAACUACUUAACCACAGGAGGAAACCUACCUGCUCCAAUUUCAUUUCCACUUGGAAUAGUAUCAUCAUCUAGACAAUCUGUGCAGCUGCCAAUCUCCUAGCUGCUAACUUUCUCC